AAUACAUAGUACCCUAUCCUUUUGAGGGUCACCCAUUUGGGGUGCGAAUGAGUCUCCAAUAUGGAGAUGGGUCUCCAAGAGAGAGACAAAGUCUCUUGGUUGCUCUCGAGUUUAUCUUUUCGAUAACAGUAUUGCAGUGAAAAAGAAGGUAUUGAUCGAUAGUUGCUCGAUCGGGAUAGUGAGUUUAGAAGGAAAAAUCGUUGAUCAUCUUUUACCGAUAUUUCGAGAGAUGUUGCCUGCAGGGUGAACUAUGUAAAUCCUGUGUUGUUGUGGCGUGAUUUUUUAUGUUUGCUUUAUUUCUUGCACUUGAUUUAUAAUUGUAUUAAUCUAUUUUGCAUUUAACCUUGAUGUACCCAAUCUUGGGUGGGAUUUUGGUAUUUGGGAUUCUCAGUUCUGCAAGCUAGGGAUUUUGAUAACCCUAUAUUUUACGGAUCUGAAUCGCCUGAUUUGGAUUGCGAUCAUUGGGGGGAUUAAAAAAGAGAGCAAGGGUGAUUUUCUUUAAUCGCCUGGUUUG
rnacentral:lncRNA from 1 species